UACGGAGGGUGCAAGCGUUGUUCGGAAUCAUUGGGCGUAAAGGGCGCGUAGGCGGCUCGUCAAGUCAGGUGUGAAAGCCCGCGGCUCAACUGCGGAACUGCGCCUGAUACUGGCAGGCUUGAGUACGGGAGAGGGUAGCGGAAUUCCGAGUGUAGAGGUGAAAUUCGUAGAUAUUCGGAGGAACACCAGUGGCGAAGGCGGCUACCUGGACCGAUACUGACGCUGAGGCGCGAAAGCGUGGGGAGCAAACAGG
rnacentral:rRNA from 1 species